GUUCCAUCCCGAGCGACCGAGAGACCUGGCUCGUCGACGUCGCAGCAACCCUCCCUCGAGGACGGUGCUAACGCCAGGACCGAUGGAGG
rnacentral:ncRNA from 2 species